rnacentral:rRNA from 1 species
GAGGGUUUUCCUCCCCUUAGUGAUGAAGUUAAAGCACUAAGCCCCUCCCCGGGGGAGUACGGGCGCAAGGGUGAAAAUCAAAGGAAUUGACGGGGGGCCGCACAAGCGGUGGAGCAUGUGGUUUAAUUUGAAGCAAAGGGAAGAACCUUACCAGGUUUUGACAUCCUUUGACAACCCUAGAGAUUGGGGUUUUCCUUUGGGAGCAGAGUGACAGGUGGUGCAUGGUUGUCGUCAGCUUGUGUUGUGAGAUGUUGGGUUAAGUUCCGCAACGAGGGCAACCCUUGAUUUUAGUUGCCCUCCUUUAGUUGGGCAAUUUAAGGUGACUGCCGGUGACAAACCGGGGGAAGGUGGGGAUGACGUCAAAUCCUCCUGCCCCUUUUGACCUGGGGUACACACGUGGUACAAUGGGCGGUACAAAGAGGUGCAAGACCGGGAGGUGGAGGUAAUUUCAUAAAACCGUUUUCAGUUUGGAUUGUAGGGUGCAACUUGCCUACCUGAAGCUGGAAUCGGUUGUAAUCGGGGAUCAGCCUGCCGCGGUGAAUACGUUUCCGGGCCUUGUACACACCGCCCGUCACCCCCCGAGAGUUUGUAACCCCCGAAGUCGGUGGGGUAACCCUUUU